UAGCCUCUUCCUGUCCCACCAGCCCGCCCUUGGCCAUAAAAGCUGCAACCUCUUACAGAAUAAGCCAGACUUGAUUGGGCUUUCUCAAGUUGUCUCCGCCUCUCUCUCCUCUUGUCAUUUGCCCCCCCAUUCCGUUCCUCCACCAGGUGAGACCCACGGAUUGAUCCCUGGGCCCGAUCAAGUGGCUCCCAAACGUGGGGCUCCCGGGAUAGGGGAUUCAACGCGGGACCGUUCGUGAGAGCUGCAGCAACUACUCCGGACUCCGUCCCUGAGACCUGCGCGGGCGGCCGCCUGACGCCUCGCCUGAGUCACGACAAUGUUGGCUUUCGUGUAGAUCACUGUCGGACUCCUAAUGCAACUACAUCUGACAAAAGAACACAGUGACCCACAUCAGCCCUGGAAGUGGACUCUCAGAUAUUAGGAAGACCAUAAGGUUGUCACUACCUGAACAGGAUCAGGAAACCCAAACUUUAAAGCCUAUUCCUGUGACCUUGGUCCUACAGACCCAUGCCUCAACUUAAUACCCGUAUACGUUUGCCCUGCUUCCACCGGGGGUAGAACAUACUGCAGUUACCUGGGACACUCUUAUUGUGCCUAUUGGGGCUGCAAAACCGCAGCGACAGGCUGAACCCCCUCUAUUCGUGACAAAGACCUCCAAUUAGGAUGGUGGCCACAGGGGUACAAACCAUUUGAUUGGUGGUAUGGGGGAGUAGUGACCUGUCAAUACCUAGAAAUCAAUGUCACCACACCCAGUGACCCCAGCUGGCUACAGGGACAAACCUGGGGUUUUCGAUAUUAUGAAAAAAGCACAGACAGGGGAGGCCUUAUUUGCAUAAAAAAAAGAGCCACUACCCUUACCUCCUGUGAAAGUGGGCCCAAAAUAAAGCCCUUAACCCAAAGUCAGGCGCCCCCGCUAAAGCCCCCAACCCACCAAGGGCCCACAAUCCCCAAGCCAAAUCCCCACCAACUAUUCAAGCUCCCACUUUAACCACCCCCCCCAACAUUUCCCCACCCAAGGACUCCACUCAUCCUUCAGGUUCUAACCUCUGACUUAAUUUCAGGAGCCUAUCAUGCUUUAAAUCUAACACAGCCUAAUCUGACCCAGUCUUGCUGGUUAUGCUUGGCCACCCCUCCCCCAUGUUACGAGGGAAAGGCACUCAACACGACCUUCGCUACGUCCUCUGACGCGAGCGCCUGCUAUUGGACCGUCCACAAUAAAAUAACCCUCCCCGACAUCUCUGGACAGGGUACCUGUCUUGGUAGGAAAGACCACUGGCCCCAACAACAAAGAAAACUAUGUGCUCGAUUUCAUACAAAUUUCCCUAGCAAUCAAUACCAUAUCCCACCCCAAGGAACAUUUUGGGCCUGUAAUACUGGCCUCUCUUUCUGCAUAUCAACUAAUGUUUUUAACCAGUCGGCUGACUUUUGCAUUCUUGUCUAGGUCCUUCCCCUGGACAAAAUGGUAUAAUUUACCAUUCUGACAAUCUCUUUUUCCAGGAUUUACAAGGCACUUACAGAGUCAAAAGAGAACCCGUGUCCCUAACCUUGGCUGCGCUGCUAGGGCUGGGGGUUGUGGCGGGGGUGGGGACAGGAACUGCAGCACUGGUAGUACAAGAGGCCCGCUUGUCCCAACAACAGGUGGCCAUAGACCAAGACCUAAAAGAAAUAGAGACAUCUAUAACAGCCCUACAAAAGUCCUUAACAUCUUUAUCUGAACUAGUCCUACAAAAUAGAAGAGGACUAGACCUCCUAUUUCUAAAGGAGGGUGGUCUAUGCGCUGCCCUCAAAGAAGAAUGUUGCUUUUAUGCAGACCACUCAGGAGUUGUCAAAGACUCCAUGACCAAAUUAAGAGAACGCCUCAAAAAUAGAGAAAGCGCCUCAGAGAAGACACCGUCUCCUCCAUGUGGGGAGGCCUUUUUCCCUAUUAUCACCCCCCUAUUAGGACCACUAGCUGCCUUAUUGCUGCUUGUCACUGUAGGCACUUGGAUCUUUCAGAGGAUCAUGACGAUCAUAAAUAGGAUAGAUGCAUUCAUGGCAAAACCCAUUCAGGUACAUUAUCAUCAGCUGGAGGUGGCAGAGCGACAGACAUAUCGGGAAAUGACACCCGCUAGUGGCCCAUAACAGUGUGGUCCCAAUGCCUUGAGGCACUGGACAGGCAGCCAAAGACGGCAACUUGGACAUUUAUGUCAUACCACUGGCCGCCUAAGACAGGCUCAGGACCAACUGCUGUCCUGUAAGCCCACGACAGGUAAGGUCUGGUUGGGUUCUUUCGAGAGGUCCACGACCUAAGACAGGUGCUGUCCUCACAAGGCUUGCCAUGCUCCUAAGCUUAUAGAAUAAAAAGGGAGGAGAUGUAGAGAGCAGGGUGAUGAUCUCACUGCCGCCACCUCAUUUCCUUUUCCCUUGGGUGCCAACUACAUCUGCCUACAUUACCCAAGAGCCUCUCCUGUCUACCUCACCCAAACGAGACGGCUGCCUACCAGAGAUCACCACAUAGCCUCUUCCUGUCCCACUAGCCCGCCCUUGGCCCAUAAAAGCUGCAACCUCUUCCUGAAUAAAUGAGAUUUGAUUGGACUUCAA